UACAGUUCCGGUCAGGUGACCUGCGGAGGAUCAUUA
rnacentral:rRNA from 1 species